GAUGAAGAACGUAGCAAAAUGCGAUAAGUAAUGUGAAUUGCAGAAUUCAGUGAAUCAUCGAAUCUUUGAACGCUCAUUGCGGCCGCCAGUAUUCUGGCGGACAUGCCUGUUCGAGCGUCAUUUCAACCCUCAAGCUCAGCUUGGUGUUGGGACUCGCGGUAACCCGCGUUCCCCAAAUCGAUUGGCGGUCACGUCGAGCUUCCAUAGCGUAGUAAUCAUACACCUCGUUACUGGUAAUCGUCGCGGCCACGCCGUAAAACCCCAACUUCUGAAUGUUGACCUCGGAUCAGGUAGGAAUACCCGCUGAACUUAAGCAUAUCAAUAAGCGGAGGA
rnacentral:misc_RNA from 1 species